AUUGAACGCUGGCGGCAGGCCUAACACAUGCAAGUCGAACGAGUGGCGGACGGGUGAGUAAUGUCUGGGAAACUGCCUGAUGGAGGGGGAUAACUACUGGAAACGGUAGCUAAUACCGCAUACCAUCGGAUGUGCCCAGAUGGGAUUAGCUAGUAGGUGGGGUAAAGGCUCACCUAGGCGACGAUCCCUAGCUGGUCUGAGAGGAUGACCAGCCACACUGGAACUGAGACACGGUCCAGACUCCUACGGGAGGCAGCAGUGGGGAAUAUUGCACAAUGGGCGCGAUCCUGAUGCAGCCAUGCCGCGUGUAUGAAGAAGGCCUUCGGGUUGUAAAGUACUUUCAGCGGGGAUGCGUUACCCGCAGAAGAAGCCCCGGCUAACUCCGUGCCAGCAGCCGCGGUAAUUC
rnacentral:rRNA from 1 species